GGAAGAUGCUGUAGGCAGAGGAGGAGGGAGACUAUAAGUGGUCUGUGAGAGCUUUCAGGCCAUGAAAAUCCAAUGUCAAAUAAAAGGAGAAGAGACAAAGACUGAUGCCUGGCAAAUGUGGUACCAAUAUUCAAAAAGGAGUCAAAAGCGAUCCUGGGAACUAUAGGCCUCACCAACAUUUAUGCAGGAUUAUUCCUCCCAGAUGAAUCUGAUCAGCUUCUAUGUGAAGAAAGUAUUUAAGAAAAAAAAAGUAGAUAUUCGGAAAAAGUUAUGAGACCAUCAGG